ACGGGAGGCAGCAGUGGGGAAUAUUGCACAAUGGGCGCAAGCCUGAUGCAGCGAUGCCGCGUGAGGGAAGAAGGUUUUCGGAUUGUAAACCUCUGUCAACAGGGACGAAAAUGACGGUACCUGUGAAGGAAGCCCCGGCUAACUACGUGCCAGCAGCCGCGGUAAUACGUAGGGGGCAAGCGUUGUCCGGAAUGAUUGGGCGUAAAGGGCGCGUAGGCGGCUUGUUAAGUCUGGAGUGAAAGUCCUGCCUUCAAGGUGGGAAUUGCUUUGGAUACUGAUGAGCUUGAGUGCAGGAGAGGUAAGUGGAAUUCCCAGUGUAGCGGUGAAAUGCGUAGAGAUUGGGAGGAACACCAGUGGCGAAGGCGACUUACUGGACUGUAACUGACGCUGAGGCGCGAAAGUGUGGGGAGCAAACAGGAUUAGAUACCCUGGUA
rnacentral:rRNA from 1 species